AGUGUAUCAAUGCAGAGUUCAUGGGGGCACAGUCUUCCUUGUUCUUCAAAAUACUUACAGAAUAAUACAGGAAAAGAAAUCUUACUCUAUCCUCUUUUUGCUUUUUAAAGUACUCAUCAGGUUAACUGAGGAAAGAUGUACUACAGUCUGAUGUACACCCUCAAAAGGA